UUUCAUAUCAACAGCUUCCACUGUAAAAGCGCCUACUCUCUCGCCUACCUUCCAUGACCAGAACUCACAAUGGCACUGUCUCCUCAUCUUCUUCAAUUUCCAGUUCACACUUCAUCUCCAGGACCUGAUUAUCUCCUCUUCUAUCCGUCUCCAUGUCAAUCUCCUUCUCCAAUUUCCGUCCACAAGACUAAGAUUCCGGUGGUUCCAAUCGCCUUCAAGGUAUCUUCGAGAGUUAGGUGCCUGACGAAGUCGUCUACUGAAGAGGAUCGUUGGAGUGAUUCGGAGACUUUGGUAUCUGAUGAUGGUGGUGAUGAUAGAGAUGCAGCGCGAGAGGACGCCAAAGUUCAACAACCCCAGCGAGAGAGAAUUGCUCCCAUUUCUUAUGGUGAUUCUCUCUCGCUUGGGAUUCGCGAGCCGGUCUAUGAGGUUGUAGAAGUAAAGUCAAAUGGGAUGGUAUCUACAAGGAAAAUAAGCAGACGCCGAUUAUUGAAGACAAGUGGUCUUCGCCCACGAGAUAUCCGGAGUGUUGAUCCAUCAUUGUUUUUGACAAAUUCAAUGCCCUCUUUAGUGGUUCGUGAGCAUGCUAUAUUGCUAAAUCUGGGCUCUUUACGAGCGAUAGCGAUGCAAGAGCGUGUCCUUAUAUUUGACUAUAACUGUAAAGGAGGAAAAGCUUUUAUAGAUACGUUGUUACCUCGAUUAAAUCCCAGAAAUGUCAAUGGAGGGCCCUGCAUGCCAUUUGAGCUUGAGGUUGUUGAAGCAGCAUUGCUUUCACGAGUACAACGAUUGGAGCAGAGACUAAUGACUGUUGAACCUCGUGUUCAAGCUCUUCUUGAAGUUUUACCCAACAGGUUAACUGCUGACAUUUUAGAGGAACUCCGUAUCAGCAAGCAAACAUUGGUUGAAUUAGGUUCAAGGGCGGGAGCUCUUAGACAAAUGUUGCUUGAUCUUUUGGAGGAUCCGCAUGAAAUACGCCUUAUAUGUAUAAUGGGAAGAAACUGCACUCUUGUAAAGGGAAAUGAUAAUGUGGAAUGCUCUGUUCCCUUAGAAAAGCAGAUUGCUGAGGAGGAAGAAGAAGAAAUUGAGAUGCUUUUGGAAAAUUACCUUCAAAGAUGUGAAUCUUGUUAUGGUCAGGCAGAACGACUUCUUGAUUCUGCAAAAGAAAUGGAAGAUUCAAUUGCUGUCAAUCUAAGCUCUCGGAGACUUGAAGUAAGCAGAGUGGAGUUACUUCUCCAGGUUGGGACAUUUUGUGUGGCAGUCGGUGCCCUAGUUGCAGGUAUUUUUGGCAUGAACUUGAAGUCCUAUCUUGAGGAGCACGUGUUUGCCUUUUGGCUGACAACAGCUGGGAUACUUGUCGGUGCUGUUGUGGCAUUUUUUAUAGUGUACUUGUAUCUCAGGGCUAGGAAAAUAUUGUAAUUUAGCAAAUCUUCAGUUAGGUAAUUUCCCUUUUUCCCGGUUAUCUUCUCUACUAGCAUCCAUUUGCAAUUCUACUAAUUAAAGAUAUUCCCAGGGAGAUCCAGCUCAUUAGUGAAGAAUUACCAAUUAUUGGAGGUUUAUAAAUCUUUACACAAAGUGAUUUCAAAGGUUGGCAUACUUGGCCAACUAGUUAUGAUUGACCACUUGUACAAGGAACCAUAUAUAUUACAAUCUUUUGUUGGGAGCGGAAUGAGGUUCCGUGUAUUCUUGAUGGAAAGGGUUUGCCGUUGUGGCAGUGGAAAAAAACUUGCUCUUUAGAGCUAUUGAAUAUCAGGUUGCAAGGCACUGAGUUAAUAUUUUGAUCAUGACGAAGAUACAUUUCUAAUAUUGCUGCAGCAACGGAUCCUUAUUUUGUUUGCAUGUCCAACAAGCAUUUCCAAGAUCAACCAAUUUGCACUUUAGAUCAACUGCACCCAACAGCUCUUGCCUUGUGGAACGACUGCCCCUUGAUAAGCAUUCUUGUUGUCUUGACGCUUUCCUGAUUCAUCUUUUAACCACCAAAAUAUUUGAUUGUUCAUCGAGAGAAUCUUUGAUAGAUUUAUGUCAGAAUUAAAACCUUCAGGUCCAGGUAUUUCAGGAUCAGCCUUGGUUUCCUUCAGGUUAUCUCCCAAGAACUCGAAAAUAAUAUUUACUGAUCUUUAUCUCAUCUAUUGCUGAUUCAGUAUGGCGUUGAAUUCUUUGAACUUUCGAAGCUACAGACAAUUGUUUUCUCAUGUUGUUUAGGAGAGGAACAAUUGAGACUAAUCAGUCUAAGUCACCGUACAGCCUGUAUCAUCAACAUAAUGAAGCUUGAUGAUCCUCUCAUGUAUUAACGUACGCGUGUAUAUUUCUUCUUUUCCUACAAUUUACUCUAUUGUAGAAAAUUCAUCCCUUUACCUCAACAUGUCCAUCAAAUUUUUUCUUAGUUUCUAAUUUUCUUAAUAUAGGUGUGUAAUUGCGCCUUAA